CCUACGGGUGGCUGCAGUGAGGAAUAUUGGUCAAUGGCCGGAAGGCUGAACCAGCCAAGCCGCGUGAAAGACGAAGGUGCCAAGCAUUGUAAACUUCUUUUGUCAAGGGACAAAAUCAGGCUCGAGAGCCUGACCGAGGGUACUUGAAGAAAAAGCAUCGGCUAACUCCGUGCCAGCAGCCGCGGUAAUACGUAGGUGGCAAGCGUUAUCCGGAUUUACUGGGUGUAAAGGGCGUGUAGGCGGGAGAGCAAGUCAGACGUGAAAUUCCAGGGCUCAACCCUGGAACUGCGUUUGAAACUGUUCUUCUUGAGUGAUGGAGAGGCAGGCGGAAUUCCGUGUGUAGCGGUGAAAUGCGUAGAUAUACGGAGGAACACCAGUGGCGAAGGCGGCCUGCUGGACAUUAACUGACGCUGAGGCGCGAAAGCGUGGGGAGCAAACAGGAUUAGAUACCCCAGUAGUC
rnacentral:rRNA from 1 species